CAGGGGAAAAUAACAGUCACACUUAUGCAAGCUGAGCUCUGAUGAAGACCAAAAACAAUUCCAGAGAGAUUGAGAGACCAUGGACCUGGCCGAGUUUCAGCUACUCCUGCCCCCAUCUUGCUUCAGGAAGCCUGCUGCUGCUUCGGGGGCCAAUCCAAGACUUAUUUCAUCUUCCUUCUUGUGGCUGACUUCUCUGAUGCAGAAACUCCCACUUCUGCCUGACACUAUUGCUCCAAGGAUACCGUAGGCUUCACAGGUAUUGCAGGAUGUCUGGACAACAUCAUUUCUAGCACUGGACAUAUUCAGCAUGAAAUACUUGUCACCUAAGAUCAAAGAGUAAAACCUAAAGGACAAAAGUAGUCAAGAUUCCCCCAGCCAAAGUCUGUAUAGUUGAAUCCAUACUCCAGAGAAGAGAGAGGAAGAAGCAUUUCUGUAAUACCAGUAGAGGAAUGAUUUUCUUAUCCCUCAAUAAUGAUGCUACCUUGAAAGACCACCUAAGAAAGUAGUAGUCAUAAACUGUCCUUUUAAUGAAUGCAGCAUUUUACCAUCUACUGCAUUGAUAUGAAGCAGAGAAACAACCAUUGAGAGAUGUCUUAAUUAUUAUUGAACCAUAUUAAAACACCAUAUCCUUUCAUCAAUGAGUCAUCAUAUGGCCAAAAGCAGACCAAGUCACCCACAUGAUACCUAAGAAACAGGCAAAGGAUAUAUGUACUUAUGCCAUGAAAAACACAGUUGUACUUCCAUUGGAAACUUUUCCUCAUUUGUCAUUUCCAUGUUGACCUUACUGAACAUCGGGCCUGACCAGAGAUGAAUACAAGAAUCAGGAGACUCUAGCUUGGACCUGUGCUUUUUGUAGUCUGGUUUGUACCUCUGGUUCCCAAAUAACAAUGGCAAAAUCAGAAAACUUGAAAAACCAUCUAGUAAUUUGUGACUAGCUAUUGAUCCAGGGAUAAUCUUCAUAACCUUUAAGAACAUCUGAUGAUUAAGUAUUUAAAUGAGCAUCAAAUAAAAAAGUUGCAAUAAACACAAUAUA